rnacentral:lncRNA from 1 species
AGAUUAAAGGGCAGACAAAAGAUGAAUCAAGGGUGGGAUGCGAUUGUGACGACUGUGUUUGGGGCAGAUUCACAGAGGAAGAACCAAAAAGCAGAAGAAGUCCAGAAAAUCCUAGAAGAAAGAGCAGGUUCCAAAGAAGCAGCAGUGUUUGACCAGUCCAAGUUAACACAUAUGAUGAGGAAGUUAGAACAAGUGCAACUAAUGACAACGGUAUCCUCCAGGGGAAUAGAGCCCACCAAACUCCUCC